UAUGUUGAACUGAUGUGAUGUUGAAAGUUAAACAUACAGUGUGUUGUGGUUCCAGACUGAAGAUGCACUGAAGGAAUACCUGGAAAGGAAGGCCAGAAUUGGCCAAGCCAUCCUGUAAGCAGACCAGUCCCUCACUGAAGCUGAGAGCAUAAGCGGCGCAAACAAAAAGGGAGGCUUCUGAGCGGGAGUCAAGCCAUGGAGGAGUAGCUGGUAGUCCAGGAGAAGUUGAGAGUGGACCAACAGAGGACUUAUGAGGAGAAUAUGAACCAGCUGAUGGAGAGGAAGGACAGAGAAGGUAGAAAUGCCAUAGCAUAGCAUGACAGAGUUCUGCAGGCCAGACUCAAGGAGCAGAAUGACCCUUUCCAGCAAGGGUUUGAUGACCGAGCACAAAUGCAAAGAGAGAUAGAUGCUCUUAAGGAAGCAAAUGCACAAGAGGAAGAGAAUAGGCCUUCAUUUAUGAGCAAGGCUCUGGAUGGCGCUAUGUUGGUUCUCCAGGGAAUAAUUCCCAAAGUAGGAGGAAUGGCCUUAAAUUGGCUGUCAAAGUUGUUCUGAUGAAGGUUCUUGAGAUUGAUUUAAUCAACAUUUAUUGAAGUUAAUGAUUGACUUACUUACUUUAAAUUAAGCACUACAUUUAAGGUUUAAUUUUAUGUUAGCUUAAAGAACCCCCCCACAAAAAAUAUAUACACCUAUGUUUUAUAAGUAAUUUGCAUGACAAAUCAUGACACAAAUCAAGCUUUUAGAAGGCAUGCUGAAAAUAUAAGAUUGAAAUAUUUAUUGGUGCCUUUUAUUAUUUACUUGAAGUUGAUUAACUGUUUUUAAUGCACCGGACAUUCUACACUAGUGUGUACAGUGGUAUGUUAAUAAAAAGUGUAAUAAUAGCCUUGGCUUUAUUUGUGCUCUUAAUAAAACACAUUUCUGCUCACAGGUCCUGGUUUGAUUAACAAGGAUAAAAUAAUUUUAAAGAAAGUAUGUCAAAGUACUAAACUGCGUAAAACAAGACAAACAACAUGUAGCUUUAAGAACAGUAUCUCAACGAUUCUCUGGACAAGUCAAAUAUAAAGACUGACUGUUUGUUCUGGUUGUACAGUAAACUAAUAAUAACAGAAUACAAAACAGUAAUGGCACUAUUACUGCUGACAACAGCCAGAAGCACCUUUGAACAUUAGC